UACGGGGGGGGCAAGCGUUGUUCGGAAUUAUUGGGCGUAAAGGGCGCGUAGGCGGUGCGGCAAGUCUCCUGUGAAAUCUCCGGGCUUAACUCGGAGCCUGCAGGAGAAACUGCCGUGCUUGAGUGUGGGAGAGGUGAGUGGAAUUCCCGGUGUAGCGGUGAAAUGCGUAGAUAUCUGGAGGAACACCGGUGGCGAAGGCGGCAUCCUGGACCAACACUGACACUGAGGAGCGAAAGCCAGGGGAGCAAACGGG
rnacentral:rRNA from 1 species